rnacentral:lncRNA from 1 species
AGCUGUCCCUGCCCAGUGCAGACUCGAGUCUGGCUUGACAGCCCUGGCCCACCUCUGGGCAGGGUCCUGAUCCAAGGCUGGUGCUUCAUCUCAGGGCAGGGGCAAGGUGGGGGGACCCUGCCUGUCUGCCUGGAAACACCCACAUGGCUUCCUUCAAUUCGUCCUGCAGAUCUCCCUGGCAUCACUUUCUGAGACACCGUACUCAACCCCCUCCAACAGGGAAAGCCCC